rnacentral:rRNA from 1 species
UCGGUCGAUUUAAUUUAAUUCUAGUGGCGGACGGGUGAGUAACGCGUGGGUAACCUGCCUUAUACAGGGGGAUAACAGUCAGAAAUGGCUGCUAAUACCGCAUAAGCGCACAGAGCUGCAUGGCUCAGUGUGAAAAACUCCGGUGGUAUAAGAUGGACCCGCGUUGGAUUAGCUAGUUGGUGGGGUAACGGCCCACCAAGGCGACGAUCCAUAGCCGGCCUGAGAGGGUGAACGGCCACAUUGGGACUGAGACACGGCCCAGACUCCUACGGGAGGCAGCAGUGGGGAAUAUUGCACAAUGGGGGAAACCCUGAUGCAGCGACGCCGCGUGAAGGAAGAAGUAUCUCGGUAUGUAAACUUCUAUCAGCAGGGAAGAUAGUGACGGUACCUGACUAAGAAGCCCCGGCUAACUACGUGCCAGCAGCCGCGGUAAUACGUAGGGGGCAAGCGUUAUCCGGAUUUACUGGGUGUAAAGGGAGCGUAGACGGUGUGGCAAGUCUGAUGUGAAAGGCAUGGGCUCAACCUGUGGACUGCAUUGGAAACUGUCAUACUUGAGUGCCGGAGGGGUAAGCGGAAUUCCUAGUGUAGCGGUGAAAUGCGUAGAUAUUAGGAGGAAC